AGGGGGUUUGGGGUCAGUGGUUUGGACUGGGAGUGACUGGUUUGGACUGGGAUGGACUGAGAGUGACUGGGAGCAGGUUUGGGGUCAUUCUGAGGGGUUUGGAGUCACUGGUUUGGACUGGGAGUGACUGGGAGAGGGUCUGGGGUCAUUCUGAGGGGGUUUGGAGUCACUGGUUUGGACUGGGAGUGACUGGGAGAGGGUUUGGGGUCAUUCUGAGGUGGUUUGGGAUGCACUGGUUUGCACUGGGAGUGACUGGGAACAGACUGGUUGGCACUGGGAGCGGGUUUGGGGCCGUACUGGGAGCACUGGGAGCGGGUUUGGGGCCGUACUGGGAGCACUGGGAGCGGGUUUGGGGCCGUACUGGUUUGUACUGGGGAGCGGGUUUGGGGCCGUACUGGGAGCACUGGGAGCGGGUUUGGGGUCAUUCUGAGGGGGUCUGGAAAGUUCUGAGGGGGUUUGGGGUGACUGGGAUGGACUGGAGCAGACUGGGAGUGACUGGGAGCGGGUUUGGGGUCAUUCUGAGGGGGUCUGGGCAAGUUCUGAGGGCUUUGGAGUCACUGGGAUGCACUGGUUUGGACUGGUUUGGACUGGGAGUGACUGGGAGCAGACCGGGAGUGGACUGGGAUGCACUGG